rnacentral:piRNA from 1 species
UCCAGGUGUGUGUGGAGGACAGCAUCUGA